rnacentral:rRNA from 1 species
AACGAACGCUGGCGGCGUGGAUAAGACAUGCAAGUCGAACGGGAUUACUUUCCCUCGCAAGAGGGAGAGUAAUUUAGUGGCGAACGGGUGCGUAACACGUGGGCAAUCUGCCGAAAAGUGGGGGAUAGCUCGCCGAAAGGCGAAUUAAUACCGCAUGUGGUGAGGGACGACAUCUUCCUGAAUCCAAAGCCGGGGCAACCUGGCGCUUUUUGAGGAGCCCGCGGCCUAUCAGCUAGUUGGUGAGGUAACGGCUCACCAAGGCUAUGACGGGUAGCUGGUCUGAGAGGACGACCAGUCACACUGGAACUGAGACACGGUCCAGACACCUACGGGUGGCAGCAGUCGAGAAUUUUCUCAAUGGGGGAAACCCUGAAGGAGCGACGCCGCGUGGAGGAUGAAGGCUUUCGGGUUGU